UCCCUAGUGGUCUGGUGGCUAAAACGCCACGCUCCCAAUGCAGGGAGUUCAGGUUUGAUUCCUGGCUGGGGAA
rfam:TPA: Bos taurus chromosome 1, whole genome shotgun sequence.